CCUACGGGGGGCAGCAGUGGGGAAUAUUGGACAAUGGGGGGAACCCUGAUCCAGCCAUGCCGCGUGUGUGAAGAAGGCCCUCGGGUUGUAAAGCACUUUCAGUGAGGAAGAACGCCUGGUGGUUAAUACCCAUCAGGAAAGACAUCACUCACAGAAGAAGCACCGGCUAACUCCGUGCCAGCAGCCGCGGUAAUACGGAGGGUGCGAGCGUUAAUCGGAAUUACUGGGCGUAAAGCGCGCGUAGGUGGCUUGAUAAGCCGGUUGUGAAAGCCCCGGGCUCAACCUGGGAACGGCAUCCGGAACUGUCAAGCUAGAGUGCAGGAGAGGAAGGUAGAAUUCCAGGUGUAGCGGUGAAAUGCGUAGAGAUCGGGAGGAAUACCAGUGGCGAAGGCGGCCUUCUGGACUGACACUGACACUGAGGUGCGAAAGCGUGGGUAGCAAACAGGAUUAGAUACCCCUGUAGUC
rnacentral:rRNA from 1 species